ACCCUUCGGGGGGAAGUCGACGGAAUGAGCGGCGGACGGGUGAGUAACACGUAAAGAACCUGCCCUCAGGUCUGGGAUAACCACGAGAAAUCGGGGCUAAUACCGGAUGGGUCAUCGGACCGCAUGGUCCGAGGAUGAAAGGCGCUUCGGCGUCGCCUGGGGAUGGCUUUGCGGUGCAUUAGCUAGUUGGUGGGGUAAUGGCCCACCAAGGCGACGAUGCAUAGCCGACCUGAGAGGGUGAUCGGCCACACUGGGACUGAGACACGGCCCAGACUCCUACGGGAGGCAGCAGUAGGGAAUCUUCCACAAUGGACGAAAGUCUGAUGGAGCAACGCCGCGUGAACGAUGAAGGCCUUCGGGUCGUAAAGUUCUGUUGUAAGGGAAGAACAAGUGCCGCAGGCAAUGGCGGCACCUUGACGGUACCUUGCGAGAAAGCCACGGCUAACUACGUGCCAGCAGCCGCGGUAAUACGUAGGUGGCAAGCGUUGUCCGGAAUUAUUGGGCGUAAAGCGCGCGCAGGCGGCCUCUUAAGUCUGAUGUGAAAGCCCCCGGCUCAACCGGGGAGGGCCAUUGGAAACUGGGAGGCUUGAGUAUAGGAGAG
rnacentral:rRNA from 1 species